rnacentral:rRNA from 1 species
GAUGAACGCUGGCGGCGUGCCUAAUACAUGCAAGUCGAGCGAACAGACGAGGAGCUUGCUCCUCUGACGUUAGCGGCGGACGGGUGAGUAACACGUGGAUAACCUACCUAUAAGUCUGGGAUAACUUCGGGAAACCGGAGCUAAUACCGGAUAACAUGUUGAACCGCAUGGUUCAACAGUGAAAGACGGUCUUGCUGUCACUUAUAGAUGGAUCCGCGCCGCAUUAGCUAGUUGGUAAGGUAACGGCUUACCAAGGCAACGAUGCGUAGCCGACCUGAGAGGGUGAUCGGCCACACUGGAACUGAGACACGGUCCAGACUCCUACGGGAGGCAGCAGUAGGGAAUCUUCCGCAAUGGGCGAAAGCCUGACGGAGCAACGCCGCGUGAGUGAUGAAGGUCUUCGGAUCGUAAAACUCUGUUAUUAGGGAAGAACAAAUGUGUAAGUAACUAUGCACGUCUUGACGGUACCUAAUCAGAAAGCCACGGCUAACUACGUG